UCUAGUGUGUCCUUGACAUUAUCCUGCUGCAGGCAUCUUGCUGAAGGUCUCAGGCAGAGUCAGGGACUGACCGAAUUAGAUCUGUCUCACAGUGCAAGAGAUAAUACAGCUUUUAGCUAUCUGUGUGAGGGGCUAAAAUAUCCAGGCUGUAAACUAGAGAAACUAAGGCUGUUUAGAGGGUAUCUCACAGAGUCCCAGUGCAGAGACCUUGCUGACGUUUUCAGGAGAAACCAGACACUGAGAGAAUUAGCUCUGGGUUACUGUCAGAUAGGCAAACAAGAAAUGGUACUGCUGUGUGAAGGGCUAAAACAUCCCAACUCUAAAUUAGAAAAACUGUGCUUUUCUACUUGGAACCUGAGAGAAUUCAGGUGUGAACAUUUUGGUGAAGUUCUCAGCCUAAGCCAGUCACUGAAAGAGUUGGAUCUCUCUCCCUGUGACAUUGAUGGCAGAGACUUGGAAUUGCUAUGUAAUGGGCUAAAACAUCCAGAUUGUAAACUACAGACUCUACGGCAAGUCACUGGUGCUUUCUUUUUGGUUUUGCUUUCCAUAGGUCAACUUCCCCUUCAUUUCUGAAUACAGGGCAAAAUACUCUGCUAUUUAUUUAUUUAUUUAUUUAUUUAAUCUAAUUUGUCCCCGCCCAUCUCCUCCC